GGCUGCAGUGCCAUGUUGGUGUACAGCAGAGCUGUGGACCAUUUCAUACCACUCUCCUCUAACUCCCUUUGGAGUAUUUGAUCAGAAUCAGUAAGAAAUCAUGCUGCUCAACAGACUAAGAGAUUCAAGAUUAAGGAGAUUUAAGAAGCAAACACACCAUAUCCAUGAAUUAUCAGUGCACCCAUUACGAGGUAUGUGUUUGCACAGCCUGAAAAAUUAGUAUCUUCAUCCAAAACGCCAAUGCUCCCCCUUUCUUCCAGCAAUUUAGAACAGGAAAAGAAGUUCUCCAAGUCAGUUAUUAAAACACCAGGCUUACCCUUAUCUCCUCUGAGUAGAUUCAGGAGACAAUAAAAUCUGUAGUUACUGUUGAAGUCAUCUAGAGGAACGAUGCCAAGUGUUAAUUCUUCAGUGCUUAGUUAACCCAAACAUCCAGUCCGUCCUCCGACCGCCCAGCAGAAAGGGAUGCGCAAGAGAAACUGCACAAACUACUCCAAGGUAUUUAUAAACAAAUUAUUAAUGGUCACUUCAUAUUAGCUUUGAGUUCCCUACAUUUCUGAACAGAUGAACACUCUCCUGCAUCUUCAGUUUAAAAAGUAUUCCAGUUCCAGAAUAUAGAAAGUUUUAACAUUAAGGCAUACAUACAGCUAUGUUGUUUGCUUUCAUUUAAUUAAGAUCAAUUUACUCAUACUCAAAUACAUGGAAUGUUGGCACAAAACUAAAGCUCUUGUGGAACAGCUACCAAUCAUACACAAAUAUUCUGUGAGGUCCUCUUGACUUGCAUUUCUCCGAUAGAUACACCACAAAAUGGCUUUAAUAAUACAAACCAAAUGCUGGAUCAAAUCUCUAAAUAAUAAGUAGCAGUUAAAGUAAAUGGUUUGCUUUAUUUGUAAAUUAUGUACAGAAUACAUUUUAUUUUUUGUAAUUAUGAUGGAGCAGGAGAAAGAAAACAGCCAUCAUUUCCAAACCGUGCUGCUUCCUUCACCCGCUGGAGAUGACAUCUUUCUCUGAACCAGAUGUACAAAACCAGUUUGGAUUUCCUCAGUUGCUGGCACGCAGUCUGGAGAAAGAGAGAACACUGCAGCCAAAUUCAGCACUACCAGCUUUUAUAUUUUCAGCAAAAUACUUCUGCUAAAACUAGUAUUCUUAGGAGAGUUUUCACAAUUUUUUGAAAACAAAGUCAAGAAAAAUAUCAACAAAGCUGUGGGCUAAGAAGGGCUUUACCUAACUAGCUAUCAAAUGAGUAUAACUAGGAAUAAUCUGAGAUUUGGUCAUUCAACUUUUACCUGUUUUACAAAAGCAAGUUUGAGAAGCUAAACUAAUUGACCAGUUAUGCAAGUACCAGAAAACUAUGGUUUUCAGUAUGUUUGAGGACAAUCUGGGCAAUCUAUCAAUCAAUAGAAAACUUGUCAGAUUGAUAAAACUUCUGUGAAUGGCUAUUAAUGAUUAACAUAGUACCAAGUAAUCAAGUUAAUGGUUAAAAAAAAA